rnacentral:rRNA from 1 species
CUAAACAUAUUACCGAAACUGUGGAUGAACCUCUUUAGAGGUUCGUGGUAGGAGAGCGUUCUAAGGGCGGUGAAGUCAGACCGGAAGGACUGGUGGAGCGCUUAGAAGUGAGAAUGCCGGUAUGAGUAGCGAAAGAAGGGUGAGAAUCCCUUCCACCGAAUAUCUAAGGUUUCCUGAGGAAGGCUCGUCCGCUCAGGGUUAGUCGGGACCUAAGCCGAGGCCGAUAGGCGUAGGCGAUGGACAACAGGUAGAGAUUCCUGUACCAGUGCUAAUUGUUUAACCGAUGGGGUGACACAGAAGGAUAGGGAAUCGCACGAAUGGAAAUGUGCGUCCAAGCAGUGAGUGUGAGAAGUAGGCAAAUCCGCUUCUCGCGAAGCAUGAGCUGUGAUGGGGAAGGAAAUUAAGUACGGAAGUUCCUGAUUUCACGCUGUCAAGAAAAGCCUCUAGGAAGAGUAGUACUGCCCGUACCGCAAACCGACACAGGUAGAUGAGGAGAGAAUCCUAAGGUGAGCGAGAGAACUCUCGUUAAGGAACUCGGCAAAAUGACCCCGUAACUUCGGGAGAAGGGGUGCUCUAUUAGGGUGCAAGCCCGAGAGAGCCGCAGUGAAUAGGCCCAGGCGACUGUUUAGCAAAAACACAGGUCUCUGCAAAACCGUAAGGUGACGUAUAGGGGCUGACGCCUGCCCGGUGCUGGAAGGUUAAGAGGAGUGCUUAGCUUCGGCGAAGGUACGAAUUGAAGCCCCAGUAAACGGCGGCCGUAACUAUAACGGUCCUAAGGUAGCGAAAUUCCUUGUCGGGUAAGUUCCGACCCGCACGAAAGGCGCAACGAUCUGGGCACUGUCUCAACGAGAGACUCGGUGAAAUUAUAGUACCUGUGAAGAUGCAGGUUACCCGCGACAGGACGGAAAGACCCCGUGGAGCUUUACUGCAACCUGAUAUGGAAUGUUUGUACCGCUUGUACAGGAUAGGUAGGAGCCGAAGAGACGUGUGCGCUAGCAUACGAGGAGGCAAUGGUGGGAUACUACCCUGGCUGUAUGACCAUUCUAACCCGCCACGCUUAGCGCGUGGGGAGACAGUGUCAGGUGGGCAGUUUGACUGGGGCGGUCGCC